rnacentral:lncRNA from 1 species
AUAUUGCAUUUUUAAUCUGAAAGCCAAAUUUUAAUUUUUGAUUUAAAUUAAAAUUUUGAAUUUGAACUGAAAGUUUUAUUUAAAAUUUAUUUUUUAUAUUUAAAAGUUGAAUUUGAUUUAUAAUUAAGUUUUUUAUGUUGAUUUGUAUUUAAAUUUACAGUUUAGUUGUAAUUUAAAGUCCAACUAUUGUUGUAGGUAUUUGAGAAGGUUAUAGUAUUUUUAGUUGGAUAAAACUAGUUUUGUACACCAAAAUAUUUUUCUAAGACCAAAAUAUUCUUUAAAUAGGUACCUGGUGAAUGGUAUCUAUGCCAGAAUAGUAGGCCGCCUUUAUAAUCAUAUUACAUCUCAACCAUCUAUUUAAAAAAAUAAAUGGUCAAGAUUUAUAUAGUGUAUUGAAGUAUUAUUCAUACCGAAAUGAUCCGUUGAAUAAUGACCGGUCCGCAGAUCACCCAACAUG